GCUUGAUGCAGAGAAUAUUAGCAUGGCCCCUGCCCAAGAUUGACACACAAAUUUAUAAAGCAUUCUGUAUUUAA
rnacentral:snRNA from 1 species